rnacentral:snRNA from 1 species
GUUUUGCACAGUGGCAGUAUCAUAGCCAAUGAGGUUUAUCUGAGGUGAGAUUAUUGCUAAUUAAAAAAUAAUGUGUAAAACCAGUUUUCAUAAAUUAAAUAAUUUUUUUGAAACUACUAUAUGCACUCUAAAGAAAAUAGA